rnacentral:rRNA from 1 species
GGGAAUAUUGCGCAAUGGGCGAAAGCCUGACGCAGCGACGCCGCGUGGGGGAGGAAGGCCCCAGGGUUGUAAACCCCUGUCAGGUGGGACGAACCCCGGUACGUCGAACAGGCGUACCGACUGACGGUACCACCAGAGGAAGCUCCGGCUAACUCCGUGCCAGCAGCCGCGGUAAUACGGAGGGAGCAAGCGUUGUUCGGAUUUACUGGGCGUAAAGAGCGCGUAGGCGGUUGGGAAAGCCUCUUGGGAAAUCUCCCGGCUUAACCGGGAAAGGUCGAGAGGAACUAUUCAGCUAGAGGACGGGAGAGGAGCGCGGAAUUCCCGGUGUAGCGGUGAAAUGCGUAGAUAUCGGGAAGAAGGCCGGUGGCGAAGGCGGCGCUCUGGAACGUACCUGACGCUGAGGUGCGAAAGCGUGGGGAGCAAA